rnacentral:lncRNA from 1 species
GGGAUUGACUUGCAAAUGUCGAUUUUUGCUUAAUGAUAAACGAAGAAUUUCCGCAAACCACGGCAAUCCUCUUUCAAUUACCAUAUGCCCGAAUAAUAAUGUUUUGGAUUUCCUGUAUGGCCAAACUGCCUUGUGAAAGUUCGGCAUCCGGGCUUAAGUAGUCGAACCAUUCCAUUAUAUUUUUCAGCUCUUAGUUCAUAUAAUUUUAGUUCCGGAAUCAAAUUGAUGUGGCGCUGAUCUGAAAUUGAGAAUAUCAAAAUUAUCAACACUACAACGAAGAUGAACAACAGUGACCACAUUCUCAAGAGAAGUUCAUAAUUUGAGAAAACAAAACAAUAGAGAAUACAAUAUUCGACUUCCCCGACUAUUGGAUACCCGUUACUCAGCUAGUGGAAAUGUGAUCGCGAAAUUUUAUAAUUUUUCUAUGGAAUCGAUAGAUAUUGGUAAAUAAAAUAAGAAAAAAUGUA